rnacentral:rRNA from 4 species
CUCAAAUCAGGUAGGACUACCCGCUGAACUUAAGC